rnacentral:tRNA from 1 species
GGCGGCGUAGCUCAGUUGGCAGAGCACUCGGCUCAUAAUCGAGUUGUCGGCGGUUCGAGUCCGCCCGCCGCUA